AUAACAAAAAAAACAACAUCAGAGAACAAGUGAACAACAGUCGUCAGCGGCACCUCCACCUUCAGUGACCACCUCCGCUCGCUCCGGCCGUCCUCCUCCGCCGACAGUCGUCCACCUUCAGUGAAAGCAAGACGGGAAUGUGCAAAUCGACAAGUUUAACGGAUUUCUGGAAAGAUUUGGUUGAUUCUGGAAAAGUUUUCGGCUGAUUGACUUGAAGAUUCGAAGACUGUUCUUCGUGUUCUUGAGUUUAUUCAAUCGGUUCUUGAUAAAUUUUCGAAAGGCUUUGAUUUUGCAGGAAGUUGUUAGAAAAUCAGAAAAAUCUUCACAAUUUUCGAACAGAUUGAGUUUCCAUAGUUACUGGGCGAAAUUAACUGUUACUGGGCGAAUUUGACUGAUCUGCGAAUUUAUCCAGCAUAUUUACCGGCGAAAUUAAAAUCCAAAGGCGAUUUUGGUAACUGUGUUAUUUUCCACAGCGAAAUUAUCACGGUUUUCGGCGAAUUUACUAGUCGUCGUAAUAGCGAAGUUGACCAGAGAAUUUGUGAGCUUGACAGCGAAAUAGACCAGCAUAAUUACCAGCAAAUUUAAGUGACCCAGCAAAUUUAACAGCAUAACCUAGCGAAUUUACCAGUUGACCAGCGAAAUUAACUAUUAACCAGCGAAUUUAGCAGCAAAAUUAAGUGGUGAAAUUUCAGUUGGCAAGCGUCGGAAAAUUUUCAGUGUUGUGCAAAUCUGAUCUAGAGGAUUCCGCACUCUAGGUUAGAUAUACAAUUCUGUGAAGAUCCAUAACAUCAAGGGGACCUACAAUUGGUAUUCAGUGUUUUGCAAAUAGAAUUUGAUCCGUUGCUCGUUAGACAGAACCGUUUGCGCCGUUAGAUUCCUUGGAUUUU
rnacentral:lncRNA from 1 species